GCUGUCAAUCUUAGCUGUGGGCCCCGCCCCUCAGUGGGGCUGAGCGAGGGUCGUUGUCAUGGCGGGGUCGGCGCCCGUCUCUUGCUGCAGCCCACCCGAGUCCCGCACACCGGGCCGUGGCUCAGGGCUCGCGGAGGAGUUCACAGAAUCAGUUAUUGUGGAAAAGAUCUCCGCGAUCAUCCCGAGUCCAGCCCGUGACCCAGCAGUACCGUGGCACCAAAUGCCAUACCGGGUCAUUCCUUAAACAGCUGCAGGGACGCUGACACCAUCAUCUCCUUGGGCAGCCCGUUCCCAUGUCCAGUCACCCUUUCUGUGAAGAAAUUCAUCCUUAUGUCCUACCUAAAACCUCCCGAGUUUGACCCUGGGUGGGUGUCUGCCCUCCCUGCACCUUGCCGUGAUGUGGAGCCUGAACCCACUUGCCGGGGAAGAUGGCACAAAGCAAAAAGUGUGUCAGCUCCUGCCACGUGUCCAGCGAUAAGGGGACCUGGAGGUGAAAUGCCACGAUGAGCAUCCUACAGAGAAGCUCAAGAUGUAUCAGCAUCUAUCAAGCACAGCCUGAAACAGGUGCAGCACAGCAGAGGGUUUGGGCUGUCCCCAAGCAGGGCAGGCAGGAGGACAACCCAAAUCCUGGAGUUCUCACUGUCCUGAGGGGGUUUUGCCACCCAGAUACAGCUGUGUCUGCGCUGGAAUAAGAAAGAAGAGCUGUGAAUAGCUCCUGGGUCCCAGUGGGGUGUGCAGGAGCUGUGCCCAUGGUCAGCGCUUGGAAACAGGCACAGGGCCAUGGGAAUCCACGGGAAUUCAUCCCUGCAGGAAGUUCUCAUCCAUAUAUAGCACUUCCUUCCCUGGCAGCGGCUGCAUGCGGUGCCAUUCUCCCAUGGCACUGCUGGAGAGGAACUGGGAGCAGUGGGCAGAGGGGUCAGGGCUUCCCAGGAGAUCCUCUCUCACAUCCUGCGUGAUGAGGGCUGGGACACGGGACCUUUCUAGCAAACAUCUUCACACCUGUUUUGCUGUGUUGAAGUAAGAAGUUAGAAACCUAUGUGAGAGUUCUGAUCCUCUCUGAACAGGGCUGGGAGGAACCUUGGUGCAUUGCUUGGGCUGGUUCCUGCCCCAAAACAGGAUCAGUACUAUUGAAAACUUUCCAUACAAAGCAUGUUUACUGUUUUUUUAAAUUUUUUUUAAAGCCUCAGACUUAAAAGAGGAGAGCUCUCACUCUCCUUAAACAACCUUUUUUAGGAUUUGACCAUUUUUAACCCUAGAAAAUGUCCCUGAAUUGUUCUUGUUACAGUGUUGAGCUGGCAAUAAUUUGUUUUUAUCCCUACUGGUAAAAGAAAUAUAUUCCCUUUCUGUUUGUGGCAGCCUUUUA